AGAUCGCCNAUAGUUCUNGAACGGUGGAUAAUACCGGAUGUGCCGAAAGGUGAAAGGCUUGCUGCCUGAAGAUGAGCUCGCGUCUGAUUAGCUAGUAGGUGUGGUAAGAGCGCACCUAGGCGACGAUCAGUAGCUGGUCUGAGAGGAUGAUCAGCCACACUGGGACUGAGACACGGCCCAGACUCCUACGGGAGGCAGCAGUGGGGAAUUUUCCGCAAUGGGCGAAAGCCUGACGGAGCAAUACCGCGUGAGGGAGGAAGGCUCUUGGGUUGUAAACCUCUUUUCUCAAGGAAUAACUCAAUGAAGGUACUUGAGGAAUAAGCAUCGGCUAACUCCGUGCCAGCAGCCGCGGUAAUACGGAGGAUGCAAGCGUUAUCCGGAAUGAUUGGGCGUAAAGCGUCCGCAGGUGGCAGUGUAAGUCUGCUGUUAAAGAGCAAAGCUUAACUUUGUAAAAGCAGUGGAAACUACACAGCUAGAGUACGGUCGGGGCAGAGGGAAUUCCUGGUGUAGCGGUGAAAUGCGUAGAGAUCAGGAAGAACACCGGUGGCGAAGGCGCUCUGCUAGGCCUGUACUGACACUGAGGGACGAAAGCUAGGGGAGCGAAUGGGAUUAGAUCCCCNANUUUANUCAAGGAA
rnacentral:rRNA from 1 species